UAUGGUCGUAUGAUGAUUUUUAAUGCAUAGUUCAGAUGAAUCUCUGUGAUUAUUUCAUUUUUAGUCUUUCGCUCCUAUCUGACGACCUAU